rnacentral:rRNA from 1 species
AUGGCUCAGAGCGAACGCUGGCGGCAUUGCUUAACACAUGCAAGUCGCACGAGGGGCAACCCUAGUGGCGGACGGGUGAGUAACGCGUAGGUAUCUGUCCAUGGUGGGGGAUAACAGUGGGAAACUGCUGCUAAUACCGCAUGACACCUGAGGGUCAAAGGCGCAAGUCGCCUGUGGAGGAGCCUGCGUCCGAUUAGCUUGUUGGUGGGGUAAUGGCCUACCAAGGCGACGAUCGGUAGCUGGUCUGAGAGGAUGAUCAGCCACACUGGGACUGAGACACGGCCCAGACUCCUACGGGAGGCAGCAGUGGGGAAUAUUGGACAAUGGGCGCAAGCCUGAUCCAGCAAUGCCGCGUGGAUGAAGAAGGUCUUCGGAUUGUAAAGUCCUUUCGGCGGGGACGAUGAUGACGGUACCCGCAGAAGAAGCCCCGGCUAACUUCGUG